UGAGUAGGCGGUUAUAUAUGUCAGGUGUAAAAGGCGUAGGCUUAACUUACGUAAGCACUUGAAACUGUAUGACUUGAGAGCAGGAGAGGUAAGUGGAAUUCCUAGUGUAGCGGUGAAAUGCGUAGAUAUUAGGAGGAACACCAGUGGCGAAGGCGACUUACUGGACUGUAACUGACGCUGAGUCACGAAAGUGUGGGUAGCAAACA
rnacentral:rRNA from 1 species